rnacentral:rRNA from 1 species
CCUACGGGUGGCAGCAGUGAGGAAUAUUGGUCAAUGGACGAGAGUCUGAACCAGCCAAGUAGCGUGAAGGAUGACUGCCCUAUGGGUUGUAAACUUCUUUUAUAUGGGAAUAAAAUGUUCCACGUGUGGGAUUUUGUAUGUACCAUAUGAAUAAGGAUCGGCUAACGCCGUGCCAGCAGCCGCGGUAAUACGGAGGAUCCGAGCGUUAUCCGGAUUUAUUGGGUUUAAAGGGAGCGUAGGUGGAUUGUUAAGUCAGUUGUGAAAGUUUGCGGCUCAACCGUAAAAUGGCAGUUGAAACUGGCAGUCUUGAGUACAGUAGAGGUGGGCGGAAUUCGUGGUGGAGCGGUGAAAUGCUUAGAUAUCACGAAGAACUCCGAUUGCGAAGGCAGUUCACUGGACUGCAACUGACACUGAGGCUCGAAAGUGUGGGUAUCAAACAGGAUUAGAGACCCUUGUAGUC